rnacentral:rRNA from 1 species
GAUGAACGCUGGCGGCAGGCCUAACACAUGCAAGUCGAGCGGAGCGGCGGAAGGGUGAGUAAUGCCUAGGAAUCUGCCUGGUAGUGGGGGAUAACGUCCGGAAACGGGCGCUAAUACCGCAUACUAUCAGAUGAGCCUAGGUAGGAUUCGCUAGUUGGUGGGGUAAAGUCCGACCAAGGCGACGAUCCGUAACUGGUCUGGGAGGAUGUUCAGUCACACGGGAACUGAGACACGGUCCCGACUCCUACGGGAGGCAGCAGUGGGGAAUAUUGGACAAUGGGCGAAAGCCUGAUCCAGCCAUGCCGCGUGUGGGAAGAAGGUCUUCGGAUUGUAAAGCACUUUAAGUUGGGAGGCGUUACCAGCAGAAUAAGCACCGGCUAACUUCGUGCCAGCCGCCGCGGUAAUAC